rnacentral:tRNA from 1 species
UCCCGUGUAGCUCAGUUGGUACAGCAUGGUGUUUGCAACGCCAGGGUUGUGGGUUCGAUUCCCACGAGGGAC